CAGCAGCCGCGGUAAAACGAAGGGUGCAAGCGUUACUCGGAAUUACUGGGCGUAAAGCGUGCGUAGGUGGUGGUUUAAGUCCGUUGUGAAAGCCCUGGGCUCAACCUGGGAAUUGCAGUGGAUACUGGGUCACUAGAGUGUGGUAGAGGAUAGUGGAAUUUCCGGUGUAGCAGUGAAAUGCGUAGAGAUCGGAAGGAACAUCUGUGGCGAAGGCGACUAUCUGGGCCAACACUGACACUGAGGCACGAAAGCGUGGGGAGCAAACAGGAUUAGAUACCCCUGUAGUCCCUGUCUCUUAUAC
rnacentral:rRNA from 1 species